rnacentral:rRNA from 1 species
AUUGAACGCUGGCGGAAUGCUUUACACAUGCAAGUCGAACGGCAGCACGGGGCAACCUGGUGGCGAGUGGCGAACGGGUGAGUAAUACAUCGGAACGUGCCCAAUCGUGGGGGAUAACGUAGCGAAAGUUACGCUAAUACCGCAUACGAUCUACGGAUGAAAGCGGGGGAUCGCAAGACCUCGCGCGAAUGGAGCGGCCGAUGUCAGAUUAGGUAGUUGGUGGGGUAAAGGCUCACCAAGCCAACGAUCUGUAGCUGGUCUGAGAGGACGACCAGCCACACUGGAACUGAGACACGGUCCAGACUCCUACGGGAGGCAGCAGUGGGGAAUUUUGGACAAUGGGCGCAAGCCUGAUCCAGCCAUUCCGCGUGCAGGAUGAAGGCCUUCGGGUUGUAAACUGCUUUGUACGGAACGAAACGGUACUGCCUAAUACGCGGGCUAAUGACGGUACCGUAAGAACUAAGCACCGGCGUAACUACGUGCCAGCAGCCGCGGUAAUCUACG